GCCUCUAAUGAUGAUCAAACAAUACUUUCAUUCUUCCAAGAAAUUUCAUGUGGAGAAAUUAUUGGAGACCUGAACUGAAGAGGC